rnacentral:tRNA from 1 species
GCCCGCCUAGCUCAAUUGGAUAGAGCGUCAGACUUUUAAGACAAAUAAAGUCAAAGGGCAUCUGAAGGCUGCGAGUUCGAUCCUCGCGGUGGGCU